rnacentral:rRNA from 1 species
GUCUAAUUAAGCGAACUGAAUUUUAGUUUGACCCCCCGAAACUAGGUGAGCUACUUCGAAAUAGUUGUUAGAACUAACCCAUCUCUGUUGCAAAAGAGUGGGAAAAUUUCCAAGUAGGGGCGAUAAACCUACCGCACCAAGAGAUAGCUGGUUGCUCAAGAAAAGAAUAUUAGUUCUACUUUAAGUUUUUUCAGUUUUCAUAAACCUCAACUAAACUUAAAAGCUAUUCAAAUAAGGCACAGCUUAUUUGAAAAAGGAUACAACCUACUAUAUUGGGUAAUUAAUUAAAGAAAACCGUUAAGUGGGCCUAAAAGCAGCCACCUUUAAAAAAGCGUUAAAGCUUAACUUUUAUUCUUUAACAAUAUCCUUAUUUUUAUUUAACCCAUAAUUAAUAUUGAGUAACUCCAUAAGAAUAUGGAAGAUAUAAUGCUAGAACUAGUAACAAGAAGUAGAACUUCUCUAAAAUGUAAGCCUAGGCCACCUUAGACAUCCUAUUGGCAAUUAACGUUUAUGAACCCACUUUAUUAACACCCCAAGAAAAUCUUAAAUAUCUUAACGUUAAACUUACACCAGAACAUUUAUAGAAAGACCAAAAGAAAAAGAAGGAACUCGGCAAACAUUAACCCCGCCUGUUUACCAAAAACAUCGCCUCUUGCCUAAAUAUAAGAGGUCCAGCCUGCCCAGUGACAAAAUUUAACGGCCGCGGUACCCUAACCGUGCAAAGGUAGCAUAAUCACUUGUUCUUUAAAUAAGGACUUGUAUCAACGGCAUCACGAGGGUUAAACUGUCUCCUUUUUCAUGUCAGUGAAACUAAUCUCCUCGUGAAGAAGCGAGGAUAGCCUUAUAAGACGAGAAGACCCCAUGGAGCUUUAAACUUGACUACACCCCUCUUAAUUUUUCUAUUAAACCUUAGGGCCCUGUACGUUCUGUUUUAGGUUGGGGUGACCGCGGAGCAUAAACUAGCCUCCACAAUGAAUAGACCUCCUCUUUAUCCAAGAGUUACACCUCUAAGAACUAGUAUUCUAACAUAAAAUGAUCCGACAUUCGAUCAACGAACCAAGUUACCCUGGGGAUAACAGCGCAAUCUACUUCAAGAGCCCCUAUCGACAAGUAGGUUUACGACCUCGAUGUUGGAUCAGGGUAUCCCAGUGGUGCAGCAGCUACUAAAGGUUCGUUUGUUCAACGAUUAAAACCCUACGUGAUCUGAGGGGNAGACCGGAG